AUUGAACGCUGGCGGCAGGCCUAACACAUGCAAGUCGAGCGAGCGGCGGACGGGUGAGUAAUGUCUGGGAAACUGCCUGAUGGAGGGGGAUAACUACUGGAAACGGUAGCUAAUACCGCAUACCAUCAGAUGUGCCCAGAUGGGAUUAGCUAGUAGGUGGGGUAACGGCUCACCUAGGCGACGAUCCCUAGCUGGUCUGAGAGGAUGACCAGCCACAAUGGAACUGAGACACGGUCCAGACUCCUACGGGAGGGAGGAGUGGGGAAUAUUGCACAAUGGGGGCAAGCCUGAUGCAGCCCUGCCGCGUGUGGGAAGAAGGCCUUCGGGUUGGAAAGCAAUUUCAGCGGGGAGGCGGUACCCGCCGAAGAAGCACCGGCCAACUCCGUGCCAGCCGCCGCGGUAAUUC
rnacentral:rRNA from 1 species